AAGACCUAAAUCAGCAGCUCUCUGUAUCUCCUCCCUUCGUCCUUCUCGUCUCUCAUCUCCGUUGGAUGAAGCAGCGCAACAGAUCGACAGCGCGGAUGGCGGCGAAGAUCCGGUGACGGAAACAGCAACCAGCAGCCCAUCUCUCUCUCUCUCGAACUCGCAGCGCAGCACCGGACGGAGCAAGAUACCGGCGACCUUGAGCUCUGUUUUUCCGGCGACGUCCCCCUGUUUUUCCGGAGCGGGUUGCUUCUGGCGGUAGUGAUGGGUUCUGGCGGUGGUUGAUGGUGGUCAGCCCGGUGGCGAACUCCUGGCAGCGGCGUGAGUUCAGAAUCCGUAGGUUCCCCGUUGAAUUGAAGUCGCUAGUCUGAGAGUUGAGUUUUAGAUUGGAUGCUUGCUUUUGGAGCUUUAGCUUCGAGGAUCUGGCUUGUGGCUAGUUGAGAGCGUGGCGUAGAUCUUAUAAGCCCGAGAAAUGAGUAUGGGAUAACCUGUAUAGUUAGAAUUGAAUUGAUGUUGUAAUUAGAUAUGGUUUAGAAUGAAGGAAUGUUUGUAAUUAAAUUUGUAGAUGGAACCUUUGUAGCCUGUGCGUUCGGGUUUAGUUGUGGCCCAAGCGUGGCAUAGCACCCCUAGUUUGGUUUUAGAUUUUGCUUCCGCAAUUGAAACCUAUAUGAUAUCUAUAUUUUCUUCUUUAUUCCUUUA